rnacentral:rRNA from 1 species
UACGUAGGGGGCAAGCGUUGUCCGGAAUUAUUGGGCGUAAAGAGCGUGUAGGCGGCCCGGUAAGUCCGCUGUGAAAGUCGGGGGGCUCAACCCUCGGAUGCCGGUGGAUACUGUCGGGCUAGAGUGCGGAAGAGGCGAGUGGAAUUCCUGGUGUAGCGGUGAAAUGCGCAGAUAUCAGGAGGAACACCAAUUGGCGAAGGCAGCUCGCUGGGACGUUACUGA